rnacentral:rRNA from 1 species
AUUGAACGCUGGCGGAAUGCUUUACACAUGCAAGUCGAGCGGCAGCACGGGGGCAACCCUGGUGGCGAGCGGCGAACGGGUGAGUAAUACAUCGGAACAUGCCCAGUCGUGGGGGCUAACACUUCGAAAGAAGUGCUAAUACCGCAUACGUCCUGAGGGAGAAAGCGGGGGAUCUUCGGCCCUCGCGCGAUUGGAGUGGCCGAUGUCAGAUUAGCUAGUUGGUGGGGUAACGGCCUACCAAGGCAACGAUCUGUAGCUGGUCUGAGAGGAUGAUCAGCCACACUGGGACUGAGACACGGCCCAGACUCCUACGGGAGGCAGCAGUGGGGAAAUCUGGACAAUGGGGGCAACCCUGAUCCAGCCGUUCCGCGUGAGUGAAGAAGGCCUUCGGGGUGUAAAGCUCUUUCGGCAGGAACGAAACGGCGAGCUCUAACAUAGCUUGCUAAUGACGGUACCUGAAGAAGAAGCACCGGCUAACUACGUGCCAGCCGCCGCCGUAACAC